rnacentral:lncRNA from 1 species
AUUGAACCUCGUCCCACCCACCCCCUCAAAAAAAAAAUUCAGGAGAAAAAUAAUCAACUUAUUUGCUAUAGAAAACGUCUUGCUAUAUGUUAUUAAUGUAUCCAUCCUUGUGCCUUGUGCUUAAUGGGAGGUAGGAGAAGCAUGGAAGACAGUGCUGAGGGCAAUUUGAACUGUGGAAGCCUAGCUCAAGAAAUAUCAGAGGGGAUAUUGUGAAAAGCAAGUGGGCAAGGAGAAAUGCUGAAUGUACAGUUUGAGAAAGGGAGCACAGGGAAAUGUAAUGGCGCUAAAUCCAGUGUUCAAGGAGAUAAAAGGUUUAAAGAAAAGCCUGAUGCUAAAAGGAAUAAAGGGAAUGGUGACCCAGGCAAAACCCUACCCAGCUAAGCUUCCACCUUUUAAAAAGAAGUUAAAGAAAAACUUAAGCAGUGAAGAAAACGAUCAACAACAGAAAGCUGGUGCUAAUGUAAUUGAAAGAGAG